UAUCGUGCGAGGUUAAGUAGAAGAUACGGAGCCGAAGCGAAAGCGAGUCUUAAUAGGGCGAGAGUACGAUGGCGUAGACCCGAAACCGGGUGAUCUAUCCAUGAGCAGGUUGAAGUUGAGGUGAAACUCAAUGGAGGACCGAACCGACCACCGUUGAAAAGUUGGCGGAUGACUUGUGGAUAGGGGAGAAAUUCCAAUCGAACCCGGAUAUAGCUGGUUCUCCUCGAAAUAGCUUUAGGGCUAGCGUCGGGAAGAAGUCUUAUGGAGGUAGAGCACUGAAUGUAUGAUGGCCCCAUCUCGGGGUACUGAGUAUAAUCAAACUCCGAAUGCCGUAAGAUAUGCCCGGCAGUCAGACUGUGGGUGAUAAGGUCCAUGGUCAAAAGGGAAACAGCCCAGACCGCCAGCUAAGGUCCCAAAAUAUAUGCUAAGUGGAAAAGGAUGUGGAGAUGUCCAGACAACCAGGAGGUUGGCUCAGAAGCAGCCACCCUUUAAAGAGUGCGUAACAGCUCACUAGUCGAGUGACCCUGCGCCGAAAAUGUACCGGGGCUAAGCAGAUUACCGAAGCUGCGGAUUAUCUAAGGAUGAUGGUAGAGGAGCGUUCCAUGCAGGUAGAAGCCAUACCGGAAGGAGUGGUGGACAGCAUGGAAGUGAGAAUGCCGGUGUGAGUAGCGAGAUGCAGGUGAGAAUCCUGCACACCGAUUGCCUAAGGGUUCCAGGGGAAGGUUCGUCCGCCCUGGGUAAGUCAGGACCUAACGCGAGGCCGAAAGGCGUAGUGGAUGGACAACAGGUAGAGAUUCCUGUACCCGCUUUGAGAGUGAUGGAGUGACGGAGAAGGCUAGUAUGACCCACUAAACGGAUUGUGGGCUAAGCGAGAAGGCUGAUACGCAGGCAAAUCCGCGUAUCGGAAGGCUAAGACGUGAAGGGGAAACGAACGGGCGACCAAGUAGUGAAGCAUGCGAUGCCAGCUUCCAAGAAAAGCUUCUAACAAAAUCUCAAGGCGGCCUGUACCACAAACCGACACAGGUGGGCAAGGCGAGAAGCCUAAGGUGAGCGAGAGAACUGUUGCCAAGGAACUCGGCAAAAUGAUCCCGUACGUUCGCAAGAAGGGAUGCUGAUAGAGAUAUCAGCCGCAGUGAAGAGGCCCAAGCGACUGUUUAACUAAAACACAGCUCUCUGCAAAGUCGUAAGACGAAGUAUAGGGGGUGACUCCUGCCCGGUGCUGGAAGGUUAAGGGGAUCUGUUAGAGCAAUCGAAGCAGAGAACCGAAGCCCCAGUGAACGGCGGCCGUAACUAUAACGGUCCUAAGGUAGCGAAAUUCCUUGUCAGGUAAGUUCUGACCCGCACGAAAGGAGUAACGAUUUGGGCGCUGUCUCGGCAGCAGACUCGGUGAAAUCUUAGUACCUGUGAAAAUGCAGGUUACCCGCAACUAGACGGAAAGACCCCAUGGAGCUUUACUGUAGCUUGAUAUUGAAUUUUGAUUAUACAUGUACAGGAUAGGUGGGAGACGAGGAGACGUGCACGCCAGUGUACGAGGAGUCAUUGUUGGGAUACCACCCUUGUGUAAUUGAAGUUCUAACCAGUUACCCGGGACGGGUAAUGGGACAGUGUCAGGUGGGCAGUUUGACUGGGGCGGUCGCCUCCCAAAGAGUAACGGAGGCGCCCAAAGGUACGCUCAGAUUGGUUGGAAAUCAAUCGGCGAGUGCAAUUGCAGAAGCGUGCUUGACUGUGAGACCAACAAGUCGAACAGGGACGAAAGUCGGGAAUAGUGAUCCGGCGGUGCCGAAUGGAAGGGCCGUCGCUCAAC
rnacentral:rRNA from 1 species